UGCCAGGUAGUCCAGUGGUUUUGGCUUUGUGUUUUUACCAUAGUAGCCUGGGUUUAAUUCCCAGUCAUGGCAA